rnacentral:rRNA from 1 species
UGCUAAUACCGGAUAACAACAGAUGAUGCCUAUCAACUGUUUAAAAGAUGGUUCUGCUAUCACUCUUGGAUGGACCUGCGGUGCAUUAGCUAGUUGGUAGGGUAACGGCCUACCAAGGCGAUGAUGCAUAGCCGAGUUGAGAGACUGAUCGGCCACAUUGGGACUGAGACACGGCCCAAACUCCUACGGGAGGCAGCAGCA